rfam:Arabis alpina cultivar Pajares scaff_71724_1_contig_0, whole genome shotgun sequence.
CCCGGCCCUCAGCUGGGUGCCUGAAAACACCGGAUCCCAUACCGAACUCCGAAGUUAAACAGGCGGGUCCCCGUGUCAAAGCGGGGUGGGUAGGGC